UGGGGAAUUUUGGACAAUGGGCGAAAGCCUGAUCCAGCAAUGCCGCGUGUGUGAAGAAGGCCCUCGGGUUGUAAAGCACUUUUGUCCGGAAAGAAAUCCUUGGCUCUAAUACAGUCGGGGGAUGACGGUACCGGAAGGAUAAGCACCGGCUAACUACGUGCCAGCAGCCGCGGUAAUACGUAGGGUGCAAGCGUUAAUCGGAAUUACUGGGCGUAAAGCGUGCGCAGGCGGUUUGCUAAGACCGAUGUGAAAUCCCCGGGCUCAACCUGGGAACUGCAUUGGUGACUGGCAGGCUAGAGUAUGGCAGAGGGGGGUAGAAUUCCACGUGUAGCAGUGAAAUGCGUAGAGAUGUGGAGGAAUACCGAUGGCGAAGGCAGCCCCCUGGGCCAAUACUGACGCUCAUGCACGAAAGCGUGGGGAGCAAACAGGAUUAGAUACCCUGGUAGUCCACGCCCUAAACGAUGUCAACUAGUUGUUGGGGAUUCAUUUCCUUAGUAACGUAGCUAACGCGUGAAGUUGACCGCCUGGGGAGUACGGUCGCAAGAUUAAAACUUAAAUGAAUUGACGGGGUCAUAGCUGUUUCCU
rnacentral:rRNA from 1 species